CUUAAGUCAGUACUUUGUAGCUAUGGAAGUUAUACAAGCAAUUUUUUUCCUCCAGGAUCUACAUAGUCGUACUCAGAUUUUGGCAUUCUUCUCUCAUGAUAAAUAUGGAGUCUGCUUUUACAUUAAGGGGAAAGACACACUAAUAGCCUGAACUUACACAACUAAAGUCAAUAGGAGUGCUAUCAUUGACUUUAAUGGGAGUUCUGAUUGGCUCAAUUCUUAAAUUAUAAACAUUUUGACUCCACCCUCCAAGGAAACUUACUCUGCAGCUCAUGGAAUAACACUGAUCUACCCUGUAACUACUAGCCCUUGCUUCUGGAUAGUUUUGGGCACUUCAAGUAAAUUGCCUUGCUCUGUCUCUCUGUAUGUGUGCACAGACAGCAAUACAAACAAACAGAAAUCCAUUAAUUUCUCAACUGCCUCUCUCUCUGUCUCCAACCAAAUCGAAUACUACAGUGCAAACGCAUAUGAGUUACACAAGCAGAAGUCUUGGAUUGUUGUUAGUUCUUUUGUUUUUCUGGGAAGUUCUGUAACAAGGGAGAAGGAGCAGAGUGUGCAACCAGAAAGGAGCAACACGGGUGCAGAAGCACGACACUGGGGGAAGAAGAGAGAACAUUCUUCAGAGUGCAGCCUCCAUUGUUGAUUUCAACAACUGGUAACUGGAGCAAAAACUGCCAUGCAUGCAGGUCAUAAAGAAGGCCCUAUUUGGGAAUAUUUCCAAGAAAUUCCUGUACCUCUGGAUAAAAAAAAAAAACCGAACAUGUGCCAAAUGCAAACAAUACAACGAGAAGAUGUAAGGCCCGGUUGCCAGAAUGAAACAUGAAAAAUAAUCCUCAGAAAGCAAAGACUUUGAAGAUGAUGAUGUAGACAUGUCUGAACAAUCAGGAUUACGUGGAUUCACUUAUACAUAAGGAGUUAAAAACAUCCAUCAUCUGAAUGUCUACAACUUCAGAGCCAUCUGCUGGUAGCACCAGCAGUGCUGCAACUGAACAUACAUCAGACAAUAAAUUACCUAUAUUAAAAAAAACCAACAACAACAACAACAAAAACACCUUCUCUUCAACAUCCAGUAAAAUCAUGGAUGAGUUUGUAAUCAGGACCAGCUAGUCCAUCAAGACCCCAUAGACUGCUCAGUUCAUUUAUGCAACAAAUUCUCCCUUUCAUCUUGUUCGGAAUAAACUUUUCAAUGACAUGCUUCAAUAUUAAGAUGAAGGCUCCACUCGGCAGAGCAGACAUUACUGAAAGGUUGCUGGAUACAGUGUACGAGAAGAAAACUGAGCAGCGUGCAAAAAACAUUGACAAGAAAUUCUUUAAUCUGGGUCUUCAUAUAGGAAGAGCCAAUAAUUUAUGCUUGUGUGGCAACAAAAGAUGGGGUUGUCAACCUUAUAGAAACAACUGGUACCCCAGAAUACUUAAAAGUAUUAAGAAUACUUAAAAGUAAAAGUAGCAGCAGCAAAAGCUAUAACAAACUGAACAAAAAUUCAAGUGUCAAGUGCAUAGCUUUUCACAGCAGCUAUCCUUUAGUCCUAUGUUGACUAAUCUGACUGAAGAGAAAUGUAGAAGAUAUGCUAGUUCUGUAGCCUUGGACAAACUGCAGAAAGAUAGCUGCUGUAUUGCUAAUGCUGUUGACAUUUGGAAAGUCAA